rnacentral:rRNA from 1 species
CCUACGGGCGGCAGCAGUGGGGAAUAUUGCACAAUGGGGGAAACCCUGAUGCAGCGACGCCGCGUGAAGGAAGAAGUAUUUCGGUAUGUAAACUUCUAUCAGCAGGGAAGAAAAUGACGGUACCUGACUAAGAAGCCCCGGCUAACUACGUGCCAGCAGCCGCGGUAAUACGUAGGGGGCACGCGUUAUCCGGAUUUACUGGGUGUAAAGGGAGCGUAGACGGCUUGGCAAGUCUGGUGUGAAAGGGAGGGGCUCAACCCCUGGACUGCAUUGGAAACUGUCAGGCUGGAGUGCAGGAGAGGUAAGUGGAAUUCCUAGUGUAGCGGUGAAAUGCGGAGAUAUUAGGAGGAACACCAGUGGCGAAGGCGACUUACUGGACUGUAACUGACGUUGAGGCUCGAAAGCGUGGGGAGCAAACAGGAUUAGAUACCCGAGUAGUC